rnacentral:lncRNA from 1 species
UACACCGAAGUGGUACGUUAAUGGAGUUAGUGGAUCCAAGGCUCGGAUCAGAAUUCAACAAGGUUGAAGCAGAGAGAAUGAUUAAAAUAGCACUCUUAUGCACCAAUGCGUCGCCUUCACUAAGGCCAACCAUGUCUGAAGUGGUAAGCAUGCUGGAAGGAUCUUCUAACAUUCCGGAUGUAAUCCCUGAAGCCGGUGGUUUGAGUGAAGACUUGAGGUUUAAAACUCUAAGAGACCAUCCAAGAGAAAUGAAUAGUUCGGGUUUGGAAGGAAGUCUGUCUCAUUAUUCAUCGUCAGCCAGCUUCUUGCCUGGUUCUUCCUCUACCGAUGAUGUCCGUGAAAUUAACGCAGAGGCAUAUUUGAAGUUUAAGGCCGUGAGAGACAGUCAUAUUCAUAUGGAAAGACAAAGAUCGGUUGCCCAAGUAUCAACACCAGUCCCCUCAUGGACUGGCUCUUCAAAAUCUGCCCAUGAUCUUCACAACACAAUUUGAGUCCCGCGGAUGUGCAAAAUCAUCCGCAAGCUAGUUUCAAGUUUCAACAUUCAACUUGUUUGUAACCUACGUCUAUGUGUCAUACCUUCUCGCAUCAUCUUUGUAUCUAAAAUUUUCAGCGACUCAACCUCGGAAACAAGCGAGUCAACAACUCGUUCUUCGUUCUCAGUAGUCACCGUCGACUCCUCCUCCUUCUCUUCGCUAACACCACUUCCGAGAUGGACUGAGUCAACUCGGUCCUUGAUAAUGGCCUCAGAUUUUAUCAAAUUAGUUUCUUUUUCUCUCUGAUUUCGAGAAAGUUUGUACCUUUUCUCUCCGGAGUUAUUAAUAUCAGUUCGGCGGUUGGGGAUAGAACGGCAUCGUAGAGUGGAGGUGGUUUCUUUGUAUUCUGACGUGGAUUGAUCUGAUUGGUCGGCGGGAAUGCAGUCGUAAGAGGGAAAAUCGUCGAGCGUAUCAAAGAAUUCGUCGUCCUCAUCGUUGGUUUUAUUCCGUUCGUCCAUGCAGCAACCAGAGACUAGGGUUUCAGUUUCCGGUAAUCGCUUAUCAGGAUCGAAUUUGCUUGCAAUUCACCGUGUUUGCAGCCUUCGUGUCAUCCUUUUUUUUUUUCGGUUCGGUUAAUAACAUUUGCAUCCCUAAUUUUUAACCAUUUCUCAUGAAUAUAUAUAUUUUUUUCUUUUUAGCUCAAAAUGUCGUAUAUUCUUUCUAACACAUUAAACUUUUUUCUUUUCAAUUUUUUUUUAAAUAGCCUUUGCAAUAUUCAACUUUACCAUUAGUAAUUGUUUGUGACUUAGAGGCCUUAUGCUUCUUUUGAUUUACUGACUUAAUUAACUUAAUUUUAAUCAAUUAAGGUAUUAAGUCUUUUUAUUUUUAAUUUAAUGAAAAUUUUUAAGUCAAUUCUUUUUUACUUUUUACUUAAUCUAAAGAUUAAAAAGUCUGGAUAUUAUCAUUAAAAGAUAUUCUCCAAAAUAUCUCUAUUUAAUUUAUUGAUUUUUAUCCUUACCUAAAUUAAAUUUUAAUAAUUAACAUUAUUACACGUUUCUAUAACUUGUGAUAAUAUAAUGGCAGACUAUUAUUGUUUUUAUCUUUGUAUUUUCUUCUAGUUAGCAUUAUUUUUCUUCAUAAUUUUUAUGAAUAUUUUUCAUAUAAAAACAUCAUAAACUAUAAUGAUGUAUACUAAUUUAGAAUAUUAAUUUAUAAGUGCACAAAUGUAAAAAUAAUUGUUUUUAGAUUUUUAAGUUGAAAAAAUAACAUAAUAUUUUUUUUAGAGAUUCGAACAAAAAAUAAAUAAAUUAUUAGAUUCAAACAUUCAGCUCUAUUAAGAUUCAGACUAAUUCAAGUUUAUUUAGAUUUUUUAGAUAAAAAAAAUAAACACCACCUUAGGUUUUAAGUAUACUUUUAUUAUUUUAAUAAGAGUUUAGAUAAUUAGGCAUGUAAUACAAUAAGAACUCUUAUGACCUAUAAUGUAAGAACUCUUAUGACCUAUAAUGUGUAUAUAUAUAGUCAUUCUCUAAUGAGGCAUCUUUACUUUAAUAAAGUGAGGAUACGACUAAUAAAUAAAACACAUAUUUUAAUAUACUAAUAGAUAAGAAAUAUAAAUUUUAAUAUAUUAAAAAUUAUACUUUUUAUAUUUUAGUGGCAUCUUUAUUUUAAUAAAAUGAGAAUAUCCUAAUUUAAAAAAAGAAUAUAUAGAGAGAGAGAGAGAAUAUUGUAAGGGAGAGAGGAUUUAUGAACUAGAUAUUUUAGUUGCACUAUAUAUAUUUAUCUAAAAUCUACAAUCCUAAUAGAUUUCAAGUUGUAAUAAAUCCGAAAUCGUAAUCAUUCAAAAGAAAAAUGGUUUGGAACCUUUUUAAUACAAACGGAGAACCAAUAUCCUUUCCGUGAGAUUUGAGAAACAAUAAUAUUAAUAGCAAACAAUAAUAUUUGUCAUUUUCUGGCUACGCUAUAGGAUCCGGCGGGAAUCGCCAAUCGCCCAUCAUAUGCAAACAUUUGUUUUGCAAAUGUCUCUUUCAUCAUUGAAAUUAAAUAGUAAAUAAUUAUUUUCUUUCUUUAAUGGGAAAAAGAAAGAAGAGAAAGUUCUUUGCAUGAACAUAAAAAUCUCCAAGUCCACUAAGAAAUGUACUUACAAAAAUAAAAGUCUACUGAGAAAUGUAAAACCAAAAAUUUAUCUUCAAACUGGAGAAAAUUUUUCAAACAACCAAUAGUUAAUGCGCGUAUUUUGUGAAAGAUAGCCAAUGGGAAUGGGAGGUAACGUAAUCAAAUAAUUUAUUGAUUUAUUCAAGUCAUCAAUAUCAAAGUGAGACAUCCAUUUCCAAUUGGAAGAAAAAAACAUAUUUUAAUUACCAAACCAGCGUGGAUUUCUCUCUCUCUCUCUCUCUCUUUUUAAGGUCCAAUUAACACACUAAUCAAGUUCAGAUUGUAUAUGGACAUCCGUGACUAAUUGGUUAAUUGAUUCAUUAAACUAUAUCUCUAUAAUCUUUUCUAUUCAUAUUCCAUUCUAAUGUUGCUAUGACAUAUAUAUAUAUUUGUGUGUGUAUAAGGAAAUUUAAUUAAUUUCCUAACACAUGCAUUAUUGCAUUAAAAUAAUAGUCACUGAUGUAAAAAAAAAAUCAGAGAGCCGUGGCCAUGCUGCCUCAAUUUCGAUGGUCAAAAGCAAAAUAUUUAAAGCAGAAUCCUACAGUUUGACCAUGCAAAAAAACCAAUGAAAAUUCAAAUAUCGGGGGGUCGUAUACCAAUAGAUUCGAUAGGGACCAACAAUUCAAUUUGUGAGGGAUGUAUCUUUCGUUGACCUGUAAGGUAGAAAAAUUCAUGUCGGCGAUUAAUUAAUCAGACAUGCUGUGGAUGAGGUUUAAUAAGAAUCUUAUCAUUGGCAGCAAGUCAACCUUGUGCCGAGACAAUUUUUUAUUAAAACAAUGCACUUGGAUACAAUUCAGAAUAUGACAAAAACAAAUCUAACUUUAGUUUGACUGGUACUGCAUUCUAAAAUCGUACCAGGACGAAAGAGAAAAUCACAUCAGAAGGGUAGUUGGAAUUUUCUUAAUCGAGCUAUUUGCUUGGAAGAUUCAUCAUCCCUGCAUUUAGCAAAUAUAAAAGAAGCGCAAGAUUAUUAAAACAACGUAAUAAUAACAGCUCAUCAGAAGAUCCGUACGGUACAACAAGGAAACUGGGUAGAAUUGAAAGAUGGCUCAUAGCUCAUACCUCACGGCUAGCUUUUCUGGGUCUUCAAAGAUGUCCUUCUUGAAGCUUGACCUGUUCCUUGUCUCAAUUCUGUCUUUAAGCUGCUUAUGGACACAAGUACUUGUUUCUGCUACUCUGCCUCGAGCUGAAGGUUCGACUGAUAAAAUUUUCUUUUUAUUUUCAAUAUCCCCUUCUUCAUGAUAUCUUGUAACCAAUUGUAGCUUAUGUUUCAUUUCUCUCUCUCUCUCUCUCUCUCUUGGUAUUAGUAGUGUAUUAAUCUCAGAAAUAAAGAAUAAAACAUUGUUAAGAGCCUAAGAUGAUAAUUGAAUUGAGGGUCAGCGAUCUUACAAUGGUCAGAUUAGUGGCAUUCAUAAUAUUAUUAAAAAAAUAAAAAAAUACAAGGGAGAAUUGCGUGGGAUAUACCCCAUUUCCUUCCAAAUACCCAAUAUAUACCUAAAAUUAUAACACUCUUAAAUUUUACACAUAUAUACUCUAAAAAACUAGAGAAAGUACAAAAAUAACCACAACUAAAUCCUCAUAAAACUAAACCCAACUCCUCGAAGUCGGGUAAAUAUUCGAGAAUACUCGACUUCAACCAAACCAUACACAAUUAGUAAUUCAGCAUAAAUUCUCGACUUUUUCAUGUUAGUCGGGUAAAUAGUCGAGAAUACUCGAUUUCAAUUGAAAUAAAAAAUUAUUUGAAAAAUUUUCGAUUUUUUCAAGUAAGUCGAGUAAAGAGUCGAGAAUACCCGACUUUAAUUUAACCUUACCUAAUAUUCAUUCAGCAAAAAUUCUUGAUUUUUCAUUAAAGUUCGAUAAUUAGUUGAGAAUACUCGACUCAAAUUGAAAUAAAAAUUUUCUUUUUAAUUAAGUCAGGUAACAAGUCCAGUAUACUUGACUUUGGUUGUGUUAUUAUGUAGAAGUCAUGAGAGAGAAAGUAAACGUAAAUAGAUGGUUUUUUUAGGUUAUUUUUUACUUUUUACACUUUCACGAGGUAUAUGUUUGUAAUGGGGUAUAGAUUUAGUAUUUAAGCACAAAUGGGGGCAUAUUUAAAUAAAAAACCCAAAAUACAACUUCAAAUUUGGUGACUGGUCGAACUCAAAACUGUUAUUUUCACCAAGUUCUGAUGUUUAAUUGAGAGAUGCAUCUUUGUGUAUGUAGUUGAUGCGCUCAAUCAAAUUGCCAAAACAAUGGGAGCUAGGGACUGGACGUUUGAUGCUAAUGCUUGUGACCUGAAUGAGACACCGAUAGUGCUGGAAGAAGGUCCCACCAGGAUCAUUACUUGCAACCUUGGAAUCGAUAAUACAAGCCACAUCACUGAAAUGUAGGAUCUUUUUCUGUCAUUUUAUAAAAUUUGAAGCGGCAUAUUUUUAUUUUUCAGUCUUGUGUUUACGUUGAUGUGAAGGACCAAUUUUGGGUAUGUUUUGUUUUCCAUUUUCAGACAAUUCAAACGUUGCAACCUUUCUGGAACACUUCCACCGGAAUUGGUUCAGCUUCCUUCCAUCCAGAAAGUGUGAGUUGAACAGUCUCCAAUUUAAUGCAUUGGGAGAUUAAACUUAUAAAUAAAUUAAUCGUUUUUGUUAAUUUGCAGUGAUUUUGCCUACAACUAUCUAAAUGGUUCCAUACCAGUCGAAUGGGCUUUGUUGCAGUUGAAGUUCAUGUAAGCUAUAUCUAAUUCUCUCUAAUCAGGUUAAGCAUUUAGCAUUCUACUAGUUUCGUACAGUUAAUUGAUCGUCAAUAAUCUUAAUGCAGCUCUGUUUUUGGAAACCGGUUAUCAGGCAAUAUUCCAAGCCAUUUGACGAACAUUACCAGUCUCACGUACUUGUAAGCUCUCAAUUCUUGGUUUAUGCAAACAUAUUUAGGCCACUGAUGUAAAUGAUAACAAAUUUAUUCCAUUUGUAAUCUGAAUGGGUCUAUUUUACCAGGGACAUUGAAGCAAACCAAUUCUCAGGAACCGUACCUGAGGAGUUCAGGAAAUUAGUGAACUUGGGAACUCUGUAAGGCAUUGUCAAGCUUUUUUGUGGCUGAUAUUUGUUCAUGAUCAAUGUAAUCAUUUGGACGAUAAAUUGUCAUGGGUUACAGGAGACUAUCGUCCAAUCAGUUGAGUGGAAGUUUGCCCACGGGACUAGCUGAGCUAAAAAAUUUAACGGACUUGUAAGCUUUCUUGAUUAGUGUCAGAUCAUGCUCAAAAUUCAUCAGAGGUAUAAGCUGUACUCAUUCUUAUUGCACAUUGCAGUAGGAUCAGUGACAACAACUUCAAUGGGAGUAUACCAGAAUUUAUACAAAACUGGAAGCAACUUGACAGACUGUACGAUCAUCUACAUUACAAAGAUUUCUCAGCAUACAUUCUGGUUCUUGAUUGUUCUUGAUUGGUUAAUUUGAGUUGAUGCAGAGAAAUGCAAGGUAGUGAAUUUCAUGGACCCAUUCCAUCAUCCAUCUCUGUCUUGGAAAAGCUGACACAAUUGUGAGUAAAUAUUUCUCUACUUUUCAAUUACAAUAAUCAGAAUGAUUUAAUACAUCAAUUUAUAUGAUUAAUUUAUUAUAUUUAACGAUACUAAAAGGAUCUGUUAAUUAUGGCACUCUAACAGGAGGAUUAGUGACAUAGCUGGAAGAAAUCAUCCUUUUCCGGAUCUUAGAAAGAUGGCAGGCAUUAAAAGGAUGUAUGCUCAUUGGCUAUUUUCUAUCAUUUUGAUGGAGUAUGAUUAUUCGCCUUAUAAUUAUCUUACAGGAUUAAUGUUGGAUUUUCAGAAUUUUGAGAAACUGUGGUAUUUCUGGGGAGUUUCCUGAAUAUAUCUGGCGAAUGAAUAAUCUGCGAAUUUUGUAAGUAUGCUACAUUCUUUGUUUUCUAAUGCAGAAAUUAAAUACUUGAAAAUGAAAGCAAAAUUCACGGUUAGCAUUCAUGAAAUGUAACACCAACUAGUAAUGUAGUAUUCUUCUAUACCUUGCAGCUGCCAUAGCAGCAAUAGAGUUGAAGCAUCAGCACUUACAGGCCAGUUAAUGUAUUUACAUGGAUAAUCAUUAUCUUUUGAAUUUGGUUUGGACAGGGAUCUCAGUUUUAAUAGGCUAACCGGGAAAAUUCCCAAUGUUGCAACUCCACCGAGUUUGAAAUUCAUGUAAGUUAAUGAAAUCAACUGUCUGGAUUUACAAUGUUAAUUAUGUGAUGUCCAACUCAUUAACCACUUGAUAUGGCCUUGGUCAGCUUUCUAACUGGCAACUUUCUCAGCGGGAACAUACCAGCGUCGAUCUUGAGGAAAGGAACUAAUGUGUGUGUAUCUUAUCACCUGGAUGCCUUGAGUUUUACUUAUUUUGGUGAUUUAUGUUCAUAUAUAUUUGCAAUCUGUUGAUUUACUAUAUAGUAACCAUAUGUAACUUUGUAAUCCUGUUUCUAAAGAGACCAUAUUAAACAUCAAUUUUGUUAAAUAAAUAAUCUUAUGCAUGAAAUUUCCUUCAUUGCUUCUUUCUUGCAUGCAGGGAUCUGUCAUAUAAUAAUUUCACUCAUCAAAACCCUGAGCAGCCUGCUUGUCGGGAGAUACAGUCAGUAUAUUUCCCUCUCUAUGUUAAAUAAAUAAUCUUCUCCGCUUAUAAUAUCACUUGGUAUAUCUGAGUGCUGAUAUUUGCUUUGUCUCCCGUUAUUUCGUUAGGAAUCUAAAUCUGAACCUGUUCCGAAGUUCUUCUGGGGACAGCAAUUUGUAUGUUGCUUUUCAUGCUUUCUUAUUAUUGUAGCUUAUGUGACAGAUUUAACAACCAAUGUAUAAAGAAGUUUGCAAAUAUACAGUAAUUUUAUCAUCCAAUAAAUAAGAAGCAACGUAUAUUUUUAGAUUAGACAAUGUAAUGUCUACUAAUAUUCUUUUUUUCCUUGACUAAAACCAGAAGUGGAGUUCUUCCAUGUAGGAAUAAUUUCAAAUGCGAUCGAUGUAAGUAUACUCUACUAUCAGUAAGUCACCAUAAAAUCUAUAUCUCGAAUAUGUUGACUUUUAGAAUCACAAAUAUUUGGUAGCCUAGCUAUUAAUAAUAUCAUAUUCAAAUCAACUUCAAUUCUUCUGUUUAUUUUUUAAUUGUCAGUUCAUUUCUGGUUUCUUGAAAACUCAUUGCUCAGAUAGUCUUUAACAUUCUUUUUUCUCGGCAGAUUGGCACUCACUGCACAUUAAUUGUGGUGGAAAUGAAGUAAAAGUAAAUGGCAGCACAUUUGAAGGAGAUGGACAAAUUGGUGGUGGUGCUGCAACAUACCAUUCACAAGAUGAUACUAACUGGGGUUUUAGUAGCAGUGGAGACUUCACUGAUGAUGAUGAUGAACAAAACAGACGUUACAUUGCAACUCCUGACUCAUCAAACCUUUCUGAACUAUACAUUAAUGCACGCAUUGCUCCUCUUUCACUUACGUAUUUUGGAUAUUGUUUAGACAACGGAAAUUAUACUUUGAGUCUACACUUUGCGGAGGUCCAGUUCAGUAAUGGAAUUACAUUUUUCAGCCUGGGAAGGCGUCUGUUUGAUAUUUAUAUUCAGGUAAUUAAUCAGAAUCAGGAAAUAGAUUUUCAUCGGACACAUUUCUCUCUGUGAGUUCUUGGGAGACAGUUGUGCUAUUGAGUAAUAUGAUGGAUGAUUCUCAAUAUGUUUCUCUGGAUUGUCUUGUUUCAGGACAAACUAGUUGAGAGGAAUUUCGAUAUAAAAGCUGAAGCUUCUGGGGCUCUUAAGCCAGUUGCAAGACCCUAUAAUGUCACUGUUACAAAUCACAUUAUAGAGAUCCGUUUCCAUUGGGCUGGAAAAGGGACUACGGCACUUCCUAAAAGGGGAGUUUAUGGCCCCCUAGUAUCAGCUAUUUCAUUGAAUGACCCCAGUGAGUCCUUUUCAUCCCUUAUUCUGUUUUCAAAAUCGACUAACAUUAUAAUACGUUGCGAAGUGCGGAUUUUUAGUAACACAAUUUCAAAUGUUCUUUUUUGAAGUUUAACUCUCUACGAUUGUACAUUAGAAAACAACCAAAAUUCAGAUAUUUAGUUUGUUUGCAGCCAUUUUCUUACAUAUCCAUUUUAUGUGAAAGGAAAAAGAAAAUCUCCAUAAGUUAUUAAGCCUAUCAAUGUAGUUUUGAAUUUUUUUUCAUGCCCACACGUUUCUGUAAUGCAUUCGUUCCAUGUUUUCACAUGCUUCUGAUAAUCCUGCUUCAUGGAUUCUCCUUGGCAGACUUCAAACCUGAAAAGAAGAAGGUAGUGCCGAUUGUUGUUGGAGUAGUUGCAGGAUUAUCUCUCAUAAUCUUGGCGUUCGGUAUCCUCGGUUGGAGGUACUAUUUGAGAACCAAGAGGCGCAAAGAAAGAGGUGUGGGCUUCUUUUAGAUAAAAAUUUAAAAAUGCUUCCGUUUGCUACUCAACAUUUAUUCACAAUCAUUUUCUUUUUCAUUAUAAUAAUCAAAAUAGUAGCUUUAUAACAGCAUUAACUUUAGCUCUUGACAGCAUUUAUGUAAGCAUGUGAAGACAUUUAGGUUCAAACUACAUGCUGAUGCUCAUUUUGACCAUCCACAUUAAAUUUAGUAAGGAAAUAACUUAAUGAAUCCAGAAACUCAUCUAGAGGCUAAAGCACACUUGUCUCUCUUUAUUUGGACAGGUUUUAUGAAAGAGUCGGAUCUCCAAACAAUUUCUUUUACCUUAAAGCAAAUUAAAGCUGCAACUAACAAUUUUGAUUCUGCAAAGAAGAUUGGAGAAGGUGGAUUUGGACCUGUGUACAAGGUAUAUUGGCCAACCUUUUGCCCCUAAUCAUCCUCUUAACACAAAAUUUCCUUCAAUGGUUACUUAAAAUUUGUACAUUUCUUUUUUCAUAACUGGGAUGCAGGGUCAACUAGCAGAUGGUACUAUAAUUGCUGUGAAGCAGCUCUCUUCAAAAUCAAGGCAGGGGAAUCGUGAAUUCUUAAAUGAGAUAGCCAUGAUUUCGUGCUUGCAACACCCAAAUCUUGUUAAAAUUCAUGGCUGUUGUGUUGAAGGGGAUCAACUCUUGCUAGUAUACGAAUACAUGGAAAACAACAGCCUUGCCCGUGCUUUGUUUGGUAAGUUUAGUCUAGUAAAACAAGAAGCAAAUGUUACAUACAGGUAUAUUAUGUUUCAUUUUCUGUAGGGAUGUUUCUGAUUGGAUUCGGAAUGGUUAUUGUAUUUUUAAGGUCGUGAAAACUGUGAACUGGAAUUGGACUGGCCGACCAGGCAGAAGAUCUGUCUUGGCAUAGCCAGGGGGUUAGCUUUUCUUCAUGAAGAAUCAAGAUUCAAAAUUGUUCACAGAGACAUCAAAGCUACAAAUGUUCUGCUAGAUAGGGAUUUAAACGCCAAAAUAUCAGAUUUUGGACUAGCUAAGCUUGAUGAGGAGGAUAAAACCCACAUCAGCACUCGCAUUGCUGGAACCAUGUAAGCCUCAUUUCAUGUCUCUCAUUUAAAACUGAUAAUUUUGUUAUUGUUUCAGUGUAAUACAAAAUUGAUAAUUUUGACUUCAGAGGAUACAUGGCACCAGAAUAUGCACUCUGGGGCUAUUUGACCUACAAAGCAGAUGUUUACAGUUUUGGGAUCGUGGCCUUGGAAAUUGUUAGUGGGAAAAAUAAUAUGAGUUAUGCUCCAGCUCUGGAGUUCGACUGCACUUGUCUUCUCGAUUGGGUCAGCAACUAACUCAUAUAAUUCACCUUCUGCAUUUUCAUUUCUGUGGUUGUUGUGUCUUCUCUAAUGCUAUGUUUUGGUUUGGGUAGGCCUGUCAUCUUCAGCUAGAUGGAAAGUUAGUGGAGCUAGUGGAUGAAAGGCUAGGAUCAAAAUACAACAAGGAAGAAGUAGAAAGGAUGAUCAAAGUAUCUCUUUUGUGCACAAAUGCUUCGCCAUCACUAAGGCCAACAAUGUCGGAAGUGGUAAACAUGCUGGAAGGAAAAACUGCCAUACCAGAUAUGAUACCAGAAGCUGGAAGUUAUAGUCAAGAUUUGAGGUUCAAAGCCUUGAGAGACCAAAAGGGGCUGAGGCGUAGUCAGAAUUCGACAGCAACUCAGUCCCAGCAUUCAAUAUCAGCUGAGUUCAAUCAGGCCUCUUCCUCUACUUCUGCUGCCCAAGAUCUCUAUGAAAUUAAUGAGGAGUCAUAUAAGAAGUAUAAAGUCAUUAGAGACGGUUAUAGGCUGAUCCAAGGCAUGAAUUCAGAGGUACAGCUUUCGACGACUAUGCCCUCAUGAACCGCGUAUGAUCUUUACAACCAUAAUUCAUCGAGUUCCUAGAAACAUACAUCAUUUUUGGUGUUGUCAAUUCCGCAGUUCCUUUUUCAUUUUUUGAAAAUAUGUGUGUAUAUACACAUCUAUGUUAUUGUGCAUUUUGUUACAUUGGUGACUGUGAGAUUACAAACUAACUAUACAUUUGGAGUCCACAAAACAAAUGUGAAAAGAACAACUUUGAUGAUUGCUGGCUUCCUCAAUAAUUUUAGAGGCGCACGCAACCAUUUCCAAUCUGAUUGGCCCUAGCUGGCUGCCAUGUGUAGCGGCUCACAUCCGUCCUGCUUUGGAAAAACAGCAGCGAUGAAUGUAUAAAAAUUAGUUAAAAAAAUAGCACCUCACUAUUAAAAGAUAAAAGAAAUUCACUACAAAAAAAAAAAAAAAAAUUAUGUUACAAGAUAUUUUUUGGAGUCUCCCAUGCUAUUUGUGCUCAUUUUCUACAUAAGAUCUAUGACUCAUCCAUAUCAAAUUGACAGUUUGACACUAACUAUUCAUAUAUUUGAGCUAUCAAUGAUCAAUGCGUGUCCAAAUGAUUCACUUCGCUCCAAGCUCAAGAAGUUUUGCGAGUUUGCAGGCGUGGCAAAGCUACAGCAGCGAAGGAAUCUGAAACCUUAUCAUUGAUUUGACAAAAGCAAUAACCGGCCCUUUCUGUUAGAGUUACUAUCAUUAGUCAUACGAAAUGUUAAACGUUGAUUCCUACUAAAAAAAAAAAGAAAAAAAGUAAAGGUGUUCGUAUUGCAUGCUCAUGCAUGCACGGAAAGGUGAAUUGAAAGUAAUUAAGAUGGCUGUUUAAUCUUCACUUUUCAACAUUUUGACUAAAGAAAUAUUGGAUGUGCGUGCAUACAGCAUAUUUUAUUUAUGGAGCUGCAUAAUAUUCUAACCUUUCCCACUGUGUAAAUCAAAAAGUAAGGAUAAAGGAGAAGAGAACGAUUGGAUGACGUUGGCUGCUAGAGGCAAAAAGAGAGCUGCUCUGCUCAAGGCAUAUUUUGUGUACAAACUUGAAUACAGAUUCCUAUUUUGGGUUUUUCGAAAAUGCUCCUCUUCUUCAAACGUUUUCUACUUCUUGUGCUGGUUAUGAGUUGCUUUUGGGCUCAAAUUUUUGCUGCUGCUAAACUGCCUCGAGAUGAAGGUAAGUUCAAGUUUUUGCAAUUUUAGUACACAUUUUCAUUUUUGCCAAGUAGGAUCUACUUCGAUUAGUAGGUUUUGAUUGUGUUGGCAGUUGGUUUGAUCCUAUCUCUGAAUAAUUACUUUAUCAAGAUAGUAAAAACCCAGAAUCUCAAGUAUUCUUUUAAAAGCAUUAUUAGCAGUUUUUUUUUUAACUUUUAAAUUUUCUGAUGAUGAUGAUGAAAAUGCAGUUGAUGUUCUCAAUCAGAUAGCUCAAACAAUGGGAGCCACUAACUGGACUUUCGGUUCUGAUGCUUGUGAAGAUCACGUCACUAUAAAACAGAUUGUAUUAACAGAUCCUUUGAGAAACAUCACCUGCAACUGCCAAUUUCAGAAUGAAACCUGCCACAUUAUUGCCAUGUAAGUUAGUUGCCUUGAUUCUCUCACGAAUUAGUUGCCUUGAUUCUCUCACGAACAUGUUUCUUUGAAAGUUAAUUCCAGAAUUUAUUCUAAAGAUAUCUUCUGCAAAUCACAAGUAUUUGUAGCAUUCUUUCAAAGAGGAAUCUUGGUCACACAGUGUCAAUUUUUAAUGUAGUAAUUAAAAAGUCUGAAAAUUGCUAUUGCCCAUUAAUGGAGUGUGAAAAGUGCUGUUUUUACGAAAAGGAAAUUUCUUUUCCCAUAAAAUAAUCUGGGUUUGCUUUACUUUUUCAGGGAAUUCAUGCGUUUCAGCCUUCCAGGAACUCUCCCACCUCAAAUUGUCAAUCUUCCUUACCUCGAAAAUGUGUAAGAUUGUACACAACUUUCAUCAAUGCAUAUAUAUUGUAAUUUUAUUGUUCGCUAAUUUUUUAUGCAUUUGGGAUUGAUACCCGAUUUUGUUGAGAGGGUUUCUGUGAAUGCUUGUGAAAGAACUUUAAAAGCACUUGCUGAUGCUCCUCCAUAAAGCAUUUCCGGUACAUUUUUGACCCUCAAAGCAUUUUCUAGAAAUCAUCUACAAGUGCUUCCUCAGAAGGAAUUUUGCAAUUUUGUUUAUUUUUAGUCUAAUGCUACCAAAAAAUAGACCCAUGCCAAAAAUGUAACUAAAUGCACCCCUAGUAGUCUACUACAUUAUGAAUAUCUUUGUUUCCUUCUUUCUUUUACAGACCAAUUUGUAAAUUUGAUUGAUAUUGUUGUGGAAUGCAGUGAUUUUGCUUACAACUAUCUGCAUGGUUCGAUACCACGUGAAUGGGCCUCGAUGCAACUGAAGUAUAUGUAAGCUAUAUCUGCAUCUUUCUAUCAGUCGAGCAAAUAAAAUUUUGUUUGUCUCACUGAAUUAACCAUAUUGGAAUUGUCCAUGCAGAUCUGUUUUUGCAAACCGAUUGUCAGGCAAUAUUCCAAGCCAUUUGGGGAACAUUACUAGUCUCACAUACUUGUAAGCUUCGAAAACUCAUCAUGACUACAAUAUCCAGUUGAUGGACUUGCAGAAAUGAACUGAUUAUAGUUUUUCAUUAUUUUAAAUUUCAUGAAUUUUCCAAUUAUUUUUUAUUUCUUUGACUGAGAGAACAAAAUUCUUGUUUCUUCAAGGAGAUAAACUAGAAGUCUUAUGCUUAAUUAUUCCUCAGAAUAUUUUCUUUGUGCAUGUGUAUGUACAAAUUUGCAGGUAAGAGUCCUUUAAGUUUUUAUACCAAUAUGUUCUACGAUUAUUAGAAAUCUCAAUGGAUCUGUUUACCAGGGACCUUGAAGAAAACCAAUUUUCAGGAACAAUACCUCAAGAGCUUGGGAAUUUCGUUAACUUGGAAACCUUGUAAGGCAUUUAUGGGGUUUCUUUACGUUCAGUUUUUGUCCGUUAUCAGCAUAUUCAUCGGAGGAUAAUCUACAUUUUAUUGCAGGAGACUAUCAUCCAAUAGAUUGAUUGGAAAUUUACCAAUGGAACUUGUGAAGCUGAAAAAUUUAACAGACUUGUAAGCUUUUCAAAAGUUUAUUCUGAGGAUAUUCUGAAAUUUGGCAGAAAGUGUAAGCCAUAAUUCAUUCUUGUUCUUGUUGGACAAUGCAGUAGGAUUAAUGACAACAACUUCAAUGGGAGUGUGCCAGAUUUUAUACAAAGCUGGACACAACUUAACAGACUGUAGGCUCUUCGACAUGCCAAAAUUGUUCAAGUUACUGUCAGGCCCUUGAAAUAUUAUUGAUUGCUUUACUUAACUUAAUGCAGAGAAAUUCAAGGUAGUGGACUUGAAGGACCCAUUCCGCCAUCAAUCUCUGCUUUGGAUAAGCUAAAUCAAUUGUCAGUGAAAAUUUAAUAAGCAUUCUUUUACAAUAAUUCAAAUGAUUUAAUACUUUCAUUGUCAUAUUAGUUUAGCAUAUUGAAUAUUGCUGAAAAGAUCUGUUAAUGACGAUACUUAUAUGAACAGGAGGAUUAGUGACUUGCAAGGAAUGAAUCAGACUUUUCCGAUGCUUAGAAACAUGACAGGCCUUACACGGAUGUAUGACUCUUCAUUUUUAUCACAUUAAUGGAGUUUAUUCACCUCAAAAUUGCUUCAUCUGAUUUGAUUGUUGAUGGAUUUCCAGAAUUUUGAGGAACUGUAAUAUAUCUGGAGAGAUACCUGAAUAUAUAUGGGGAAUAAAAAAUCUUCGGUUUCUGUAAGUAUGUUACUUACUUACUUAUCGAUUACCUAUGUUCUAUUGUGCAGAUCAUCAUAUGUAGUUAGGGUCUCUAAUUAGCACACGUAUAAAUUUUUGUUCUCUCUCUUUCUUUCUUUUUUUUUCUUUUUUUGGCUUUUAUAGGGAUCUCAGCUUUAAUCAUCUAACUGGGGAACUUCCCGAUGUUGCACUCCCAGCCGAUUUGAAAUUCACGCAAGUUACUGAAACAAAAGUUUUAAUUUUACUAUUCUAAUUUUCAAAUGUCCAGAUACUAACUGCUUGAUCUGGCCUUUAUCAGCUUUCUUACCGGCAAUUCUAUCCAAGGGAAUGUACCGGAGUCAAUCCUGAAGAAAGGAACUAAUGUGUGUGUACCUUAUCUCUUGGAUUUUAGAUUCUUAUGUUUAUCAGAGGAGUUUAUGAGCAUCAAUCCUUGUAACGUGCAUUUGUUAUCCAUCGUUAAGCUCUAUAAAUUUGUUAAUCUGUUAAUUUACUAUUGUUGAAAAUGAGUUUGCUGGAGGCAUAUGAACAAGCCAUUAUGUUAGGCUUUGUGGAGCACAUCACAUAUCACAACUAGCACAUAUUAGAAACAAAACAAUUUUGAGGUUUAGCUUUUUCAUUUGAUGAGGAUAGCAGUGAGGGGGUUGUGUCAAACACAAAGACAUUCUCUUGUAUCUUUCAAUUGCUUCAUCAUUUUAAAUUAAAUUUCCAUCUACAAUGAAAAGAUCGUUGUUUCUUUCUUGCAUGCAGGGACCUUUCUUACAAUAAUUUCACUUGGCAGAGUCCUGAGCAGCCUGCUUGCCGUGAGAAACCGUCAGUAUAUUUCUCUUAAGUGAAUAAUUAUCUGAUUCUGUUUACCUCCAUGUAUAUCCUGUGAUGGAUCUAAGUCCUGAUAGAUGUAUCAUUUUUUAACUAGGAAUCUAAAUCUGAAUUUGUUCCGGAGUUCUUCAGUGGAAAAUAACUUGUAAGUUCCCUUUUUCUUUCCUAUUAUACCAGCUUAAGUUACAGUGGUAAUUCCUUUAAAAACAAAAAAAGUUACGAAGGUAAUUACCUCUACAUGAAGUAUUUUGCGCAUAUAGCUGGUCAUUCUAUCAUUAAAUCUUCAUUUCUGUUUUGAUGGUGCCAUUUGCUUUUCAAUGAAAGCAAGAAAUCUUCUCACGACAGCCAUUUGUUACUCUACUGUUGUUGACCUCACUUGGCAACGAUAUGGAGCUAAUCUGUUUUGUUUACAUUUUUUCUUGACUAAAACCAGACGUGGAGUUUUUCCAUGUACAAACAAUUUCACAUGUCAUCGAUGUAAGUAUCAUUUCAGAUUUGAUGUUGUUAGAAUUCUCUUCGUAUUAGAAUCUCUUCUAUAUUCUCUUCACAUUUAUUGACUCCUGGAAUCACAAUUCUUUGUCAUGUUCUUUACGAAUUCAAUCACAAGUCUUGUUAUCAUGUACGUAAGUGCUUUAUCUGAAGUACUUAAAGGCAAGGUGAAGUAAUCUAGUUGAUCCCUAGAAUUGAUGAUAAUACAAUUACGUUUGCCGAUCACUCACAAGUUCCCCAACCCCCAACAAAAUAAAUAAUAAAUAAAAAAACUGACCAUAUGAGCUUGUUUUCCUUUUAAUGUUUUCAAAUGGAUUAACAGUAUGUGAAAAGGUCUUUGCUGCUUUAGUAUUUCACAUUGUUUUCUCUUCACAGAUUGGCACUCUCUGCACAUUAAUUGUGGUGGAGGUAAUGUAAAAGUAAAUGACAGCACAUUCGAAGGAGAUGCAGGAGUUGGUGGUGGUGCUGCAACAUACCAUUUACUGGAUGGUACUAACUGGGGAAUCAGUAGCACAGGAGAUUUCACAGAUGAUGAUGAUGAGCAAAAUACUAAUUAUAUUGCAAAUUCACAGUCAUCAGGGAUUUCUGAAUUGUACAAUGAUGCACGUAUUUCUCCUCUUUCGCUUACUUAUAUUGGAUAUUGUUUAGAAAAUGGGAAUUAUUCAGUGGCUCUACACUUUGCGGAGAUCCAAUUCACAAAUGACAAAACAUAUAAAACCCUUGGCAGGCGCAUAUUUGAUAUUUAUAUCCAGGUACUUUAUGACAAUCAAGAAAUAUAUUUUCAUCAGAGUCAACUCAGGCUGUGAUGCCUGAGAAUCAGAUGAUGGGUUGUGGGCUUGCAUAUUAUAAUUUUGUGCCUGAUGUGUUCCAUUCAAAAUGUUCCAUCUUGUGAGAUGUCUCCAGUUGUGUGAUAUGUUUAAAGCUAUUCUUGAGAGGCCAUUUUCUUAGUCACUUGGUCAUAUGGAGUUUGUUUCUUUCAGGAUAACAAAUACAAAUUUUGUUGGUUUGCUAUGUUGCAGGACAAAUUAGUUGAGAAGGAUUUUAACAUUGAAGCUGAAGCUCAUGGAGUUCUUAAGCCAAUCACGAGACCAUUCACUGCCAAUGUUUCCAAUCACAUUUUAGAGAUUCGCUUCCAAUGGGCUGGCAAAGGCACUACUGCAAUUCCUAUUGGUGGAGUUUAUGGGCCUCUUAUAUCAGCUAUUUCUGUGGAUCCCAGUGAGUGAUUUUCUUUUCCUCUUCUUCCAUGUCCCAUGUCGGGCUAACAAUGUGACAUGUUGUACAAUCAUUUUGAGAAUAAAAGUUCAAGUGCUCCAAUAGUGUGAAAUCUAAGAACUGUAAGCCACAGCACCUAUGGUAGAAAACCAUUUGAAAAUUUAAAGCAAACAUCCAACUAAUCGAUAUAGUCUUGAAUACUCACAGUCAUUCUUUCUUCCUAUGUUUGUUGUUUCUGAUUAUCAUAAUUUCUUGGCUUAUGCUUUCUGGCAGACUUCAAACCCCUCUAUGGGGCAGGAAAAAAGACGAUUGCACCAAUUGUUGCUGGCGUUAUUAUAGGAUCAUGUCUCAUUAUCUUGGUGUUGGGUAUCUUCUGUUGGAGACACUAUUUUAGAACCAAGAGCGGAAGACAAGAAGGUUUGGAAUCUUUCAAAUAGAUGAGUAACUGCUUCAGGAAGAGAGAACUGAAACUAAAACAAUCAUAACAAAACCUUGUGGCUGGAGGAAAUUUAUCGAUUGAAAAUGUUUUUUUAGCUGGUCUAUGGUUCUUUUACAAAGCGUAAACACUAAAAAUCAGGCAACUUUUUAAAACUGUACUUCUCUUUCAUUUGAACAGAUCUUCAAGGACUAGAAUUCCAAGCCAGUUCUUUUACCUUAAAGCAAAUAAGAGCUGCCACUAGCAAUUUUGAUCCCAUGAACAAGAUUGGCGAAGGUGGAUUUGGACCUGUUUACAAGGUAUACACUCAAACCUUUGGUCAUCGUGAUUAUUCUUUUGUAUACAGAACUUCCUUUAACGGUUCUUCUUGUUACAUACAUACAUGCAGGGUCAGUUAACCAAUGGUACUAUAAUUGCUGUGAAGCAGCUCUCUUCAAAAUCAAGGCAGGGGAAUCGUGAAUUCUUAAAUGAGAUAGCCAUGAUUUCGUGUUUGCAACACCCAAAUCUUGUUAAAAUUCAUGGCUGUUGUGUUGAAGGGGAUCAACUCUUGCUAGUAUAUGAAUACAUGGAAAACAACAGCCUUGCCCAUGCUUUAUUCGGUAAGUGUAAUAUAUUGAUGAUUGCUUGAUUGAUUAUAUGAGAGGAAAAUAAAAUAGUAACUUAGAAACACUAUACAAGUUAUAUACCAAUCUAUUAUUCUCCCUAGUAAUAUUUCUUGGAAUGGUCAUGUUAAGGUGGUGAAAACAGUCAACUGAAAUUGAACUGGUCAGUGAGGCAGAAGAUCUGCCUUGGGAUAGCCAGAGGUUUAGCUUUUCUACAUGAAGAAUCCAGAUUCAAGAUAGUUCAUAGAGACAUCAAAGCUACGAAUGUUCUGCUAGAUAGAGAUUUAAACCCCAAAAUAUCUGACUUUGGACUGGCUAAGCUUGAUGAGGAGGAGAAAACUCACAUCAGUACUCGAGUUGCUGGAACAAUGUAAGCUACAUGUCUCUCUUUUCAAUGACAUUUUGUCACUAUUUUAACAUCAAAACUCAUGAUAAUUUGAUAUGCAGAGGAUAUAUGGCACCAGAGUAUGCUUUAUGGGGUUACUUGACCUACAAAGCAGAUGUUUACAGUUUCGGAGUUGUGGCUUUGGAAAUUGUCAGUGGGAAGAAUAAUAUGAGUUAUGUGCCAGACAGUAAUUGCACCUGUCCUCUUGACUGGGUACGAGAUUAACUAAAUUUUUAUUCUUUAGUAGUACUUUUAACUCCAUUUUAGUGGGGACAUGUUUGUUUGUUUGUUAUUUAUUUAUUUGGGACAACAGUUAUGGCAUGAGUUUAAAUCCAAUAAAUGUAGAAUUUUUAACAUAAUUGUCUCGGUUAUGUAUUUCCCAGGCCUUCCAUUUACACCAAAGUGGUACGUUAAUGGAGUUUGUGGAUCCAAGGCUCGGAUCAGAAUUCAACAAGGUUGAAGCAGAGAGAAUGAUUAAAAUAGCACUCUUAUGCACCAAUGCGUCACCUUCACUAAGGCCAACCAUGUCUGAAGUGGUAAGCAUGCUGGAAGGAUCUUCUAACAUUCCGGAUGUAAUCCCUGAAGCCGGUGGUUUGAGUGAAGACUUGAGGUUUAAAACUCUAAGAGACCAUCCAAGAGAAAUGAAUAGUUCGGGUUUGGAAGGAAGUCUGUCUCAUUAUUCAUCGUCAGCCAGCUUCUUGCCUGGUUCUUCCUCUACCGAUGAUGUCCGUGAAAUUAAUGCAGAGGCAUAUUUGAAGUUUAAGGCCAUGAGAGACAGUCAUAUUCAUAUGGAAAGACAAAGAUCGGUUGCCCAAUUAUCAACACCAGUCCCCUCAUGGACUGGUUCUUCAAAAUCUGCCCAUGAUCUUCACAACACAAUUUGAGUCCAGCGGAUGUGCUAAAUCAUCCGCAAGCUAGUUUCAAGUUUCAACAUUCAACUUUUUUGUAACCUACGUCUAUGUGUCAUACCUUCUCGCAUCAUCUUUGUAUCUAAAAUUUUCAGCAAGUACGUACUAUAGAAGUCAUAUCUGUGUGUUUGGAGGAAAGAGUUACCAUUUUUCUGGAGUUGUUGAAAUUAUGGAGCUUGAAGGUUGAUGCGGAAAUCCAUC